rfam:Felis catus isolate Cinnamon breed Abyssinian chromosome B3, whole genome shotgun sequence.
GCCUGGGUGGCUCAGUUGGUUAAGUGUCUGACUUCAGCUCAGGUCACGAUUUCGUGGUUCAUGAGUUCGAGCCCCAUAUCUGGCU